rnacentral:rRNA from 1 species
AGUGAACGCUGGCGGUAGGCCUAACACAUGCAAGUCGAACGGAAGCACAGUAAGAGCUUGCUCUUACGGGUGGCGAGUGGCGGACGGGUGAGGAAUACAUCGGAAUCUACUUUUUCGUGGGGGAUAACGUAGGGAAACUUACGCUAAUACCGCAUACGACCUACGGGUGAAAGCAGGGGAUCUUCGGACCUUGCGCGAUUGAAUGAGCCGGUGUCGGAUUAGUUAGUUGGCGGGGUAAAGGCCCACCAAGGCGACGAUCCGUAGCUGGUCUGAGCGGAUGAUCAGCCACACUGGAACUGAGACACGGUCCAGACUCCUACGGGAGGCAGCAGUGGGGAAUAUUGGACAAAGGGCGCAAGCCUGAUCCAGCCAUACCGCGUGGGUGAAGAAGGCCUUCGGGUUGUAAAGCCCUUUUGUUGGGAAAGAAAAGCAGCAGGUUAAUACCCCGCUGUUCUGACGGUACCCAAAGAAUAAGCACCGGCUAACUUCGUG